GGUUUCCGUAGGUGAACCUGCGGAAGGAUCAUUGUCGAAACUUACACAACAAGACCAUUUGUGAACUUGUUUUAUCUUUCCCAUAGCUGCGGGGUUGGGACGUGUAUCCCUUGUGGUCCCUUCCUUCCUCCGCAGUUGAACAUUGUGCGACGCGGAAUGCGUCAAGGAACAUGAACGCAACUUUCACCUUCAUGCACCUGUUUGUUGCUUGGAGGUGUUGCUUCGUUGAAAUAUCAAAUCAAAAAAUGACUCUCGGCAACGGAUAUCUCGGCUCUCGCAUCGAUGAAGAACGUAGCGAAAUGCGAUACUUGGUGUGAAUUGCAGAAUCCCGUGAACCAUCGAGUCUUUGAACGCAAGUUGCGCCCAAAGCCAUUUGGCCGAGGGCACGUCUGCCUGGGUGUCACGCACUAUGUUGCCCCGCCGCCCACUUAUAGUUUGGGCGGGAGGGGACAGACUAUGGCUUCCCACUUGUCUUGAACUAAUGGAUGGCCUAAAUAGGGAGCUCGCAGUUGUGAGCGCCGUGAUGAUUGGUGGUUGGAUUGGCUUCUAUGCCUUUGUAGCAUCUUGUCACGAAGCGCCAUGCUGUGUUUCACUCGGUUUACUUAAUUGGAUUGAUGACAUUGCAUUGUUCCACCGUUGCGACCCCAGGU
rnacentral:rRNA from 1 species